AGACCUUGCAGUUUGUGUUCAAGCAACAUACAUCAAAGUUGCUGGUGAACGCAGCAGGCCAAGCAGCAUCUGUAGGAAGAGGUACAGUCGACGUUUCAGGCCGAGACCCUUCGUCAGGACUAACUGAAGGAAGAAUUGAUGGCACAUGGAUCAAGAACAAGCCCUCAGCAAUUCACCGAUGUACGUGCGCACAUGCUCCACCCUGCUUUCCACCUAGCGAAUACUGGAGAGCAGCACCAACAGGAGGCGCAGGUCCUCAAUCCAGCAUGGAUGCCACCAAACGGUGCUUCUGGCGCUUCUUCUCCAGGGCGGCUGCAACAGGGACCGUGCACAAUUCUGAUUGAUGGAGACAGACGCGAGAAGCACAGAGGAACAUCUGGUGAAACUUCUGAAAUGCCCGGUUUGCUGCCGCUGAUACUGUGCGAUCAAGAAUCUCCGGAGGGAAGGCCCAAAUCCUCGGCUUUUCCUGUUGCUGGCGGCCGGGGUCGAAGCGCUUGGCAGAGAUGUUGCUCAGAUCGGAGGGCUAGUCGGAGGCUCAAAGUUUUCAGACGAUUCAGAGUCGGACUGUGGUCGGGGUGCUUCCAGGAUGCUGCAUUGGCAAGUUUGUGGUGCUGGUAGCUUAUGGCAGGAAGAGAGUUUUCUUCCUUCUCCUGUCUGUGUGAGAUGAUGGGACUUUUGAGAGACUGAACUUUUUUUUACCGUGCCCAUGGCCUGUUCUUCAUCAAGUUACAGUAUUGCUUGCACUGUUGUAACUAUAUGUUAUAAUUAUGUGGUUUUUAUCAGUUUUUCAGUCUUGGUCUGUCUUGUGUUUGUGAUACCACACCAGAAAAACAUUGUAUCAUUUCUUAAUGCAUGCAUUACUAAAUGAUAAUAAAAGAGGACUGCGUGUCCUCAUAAUCUAAUCUAAACAGGUUCCUACUAAAAGCGUCGCUGCUUCUGAAUUCGGUACUAUAGAAACAAAUCCAAUGCUGUUAUCAGAAAUGUCUCUGAAAAAACAUUAGGAGAGAUAAGAGAGAUUAUCCCUGGUGAUGGACAGAAUAUACCCCAAGUUGCUAAGGGAAGAGAGCGAAGAGAUUGCUGGGAUGUUGUUGAUGAUCUUUGCAUUCUCUCUAGCCACAGGAGUGGUACUGGAGAACUGGAGAAUGGCACAUGUUGUUCAAGAUGUAUAAUUGGGAUCAUCGUGGGAAUUUAGAUCAGUAAAUCUAAAAUCAGUAGUGGGUAAACUAUAGGAGAGGAUUCUUAGGGAUAGUAUUUAUGAGCAUUUGGAGAAGUAUUGUCAGUUUAGGGAUAGCCAGCAUUGCUUUGUCACAGAUGUCACGCCUUAUGAGUUUGAUUCAGGUUUAAAAGUGAUGAGGGUAGAGUGGAGAUUGUGUAUACGGAUUUUAAUAAACACUAGAAAUUCAGCAGAUGCUGGAAAUCCAAAAGGAACACACACAAAAUGCUGGAGGAACUCAGCAGGUCAGGCAGCACCUGUGGACAAGAGUACAGCGUCGACGUUUCGGGCUGAGACCUUUCAUUACCAUUGGAUAGGAAGGGGGAAAUUGUCGGAAUCUGACUUGCAAAUGACAUGAAGAUUGGCGUUGUUGUGGAUGGUCAGACUCCAACUUCUUCCCCCUUCCUUUCUGGUGCUGAUGAAGUGGCUCAGCCCGAAACAUUGACUGUUUACUCUUUUUCAUAGAUGCUGUCUGGCCUGCUAGAUUUCAAUAAGGUAUUUGACAAGAUUCCCCAUGGUAUAGGCUCAUCCAGAAAGUCAUGAGGCAAGAGAUUCAUGGAAACAAGGCAGCAUAGAUUUGGAAUUGGCUUGCCCAUGGAAGGCAAAGGGUGGUUGUACACACAGCAUAUUCUGCCUGGAGGUCAGUGACUAGUGCUGUUCCACAGGGAUCUGCUCUGUGACCCCUGCUCUUUGAAAAGUUUUUAAGUGAGCUGGAUGAGGAAGUGGAAGAAUGGGUUAGUAAAUGUGCAGAUGACAUGAUGAUUGGUGUUGUGGAAGUAGACAGGAUGCAGAGUUGGGCAGAGAAGUGGUAGAUGGAGUUCAAUCCAGUAAAGUGUGGAAUGAUACAGUUUCGAAGAUCAAGAUUGAAGAUGGUGUAUAGUAUUAGUGGCAGUAUUUUUUUUUUAGCAGUGUGGGGGUGGUGCUAUAGACUGGUACAAUUGGGGCACUUAAGAUGAUCUGAAAUAAGACACAUGGACGCAAGAAAAAUGGAGGGUUAUAGACUAUUUAGGAGGGUGAGAUUGAUUGUGGAGUGCUGAACAGUCUUCUGUUCUCUAUUCUAUUAAAUUAUUAUUUAACCUGCAAUGCUGCUUGAAAUGAACUACUUUUCUGUAAUCUACAAUCACUUUGCUCCUUGACUCAAUCCAUUAUUUUUAUAUCCAGUAUUAUUUUCUAUGUAUAAUCAAUCUGCUUUCCUAUAAACUGCAUCUCAUAUUUAUCCUUGUUAAAGCUACCAUUUAACCAAGCAGUUUGUACAUUUUCUCUUGCAUUCAAACAGUACAUUACAUCAUUGUAGACUACAUCCCUCUUAGUUUUGAUAAAAAUUACUUGGUCCUAAAAGAAAAUCAAUGGAUGUUUUGAUAUGUGCCAAGCACAGAGACUCACUAAAAUCAAUAUAAAAAUAUAAAAGGGCUCUCUGAUAAACUGAAAUAAUUGGCAACAUGUACCAUA